AUACGGAGGGUGCAAGCGUUAAUCGGAAUUACUGGGCGUAAAGAGUACGUAGGUGGUUUAUUAAGUCAGAUGUGAAAGCCCCGGGCUCAACCUGGGAACUGCACUUGAAACUAGUAGACUAGAGUAUGGUAGAGGGGGGUAGAAUUUCUAGUGUAGCGGUGAAAUGCGUAGAUAUUAGAUGGAAUACCAGUGGCGAAGGCGGCCCCCUGGACCAAUACUGACACUGAGGUACGAAAGCGUGGGUAGCGAACAGGAUUAGAUACCCGAGUAGUCC
rnacentral:rRNA from 1 species